GACGAACGCUGGCGGCGUGCUUAACACAUGCAAGUCGAACGGAAAGGCCCUGCUUUUGUGGGGUGCUCGAGUGGCGAACGGGUGAGUAACACGUGAGUAACCUGCCCUUGACUUUGGGAUAACUUCAGGAAACUGGGGCUAAUACCGGAUAGGAGCUCCUGCUGCAUGGUGGGGGUUGGAAAGUUUCGGCGGUUGGGGAUGGACUCGCGGCUUAUCAGCUUGUUGGUGGGGUAGUGGCUUACCAAGGCUUUGACGGGUAGCCGGCCUGAGAGGGUGACCGGCGAGAGUGGGAAGGAGAUAAGGGCGAGAGUGCUGCGGGAGGCAGCAGUGGGGAAGAGUGCAGAAUGGGCGGAAGCCUGAUGCAGUAACGCCGCGUGCGGGAUGACGGGCGUCGGGUGGGAAACCGCGUUCGCCUGUGACGAAGAGUGAGGGAGGGGAAUGGGUAAAGAAGAACCGGAGAACUACGGG
rnacentral:rRNA from 1 species